rnacentral:lncRNA from 1 species
GGACCCCCAGCAAGACACGAGUUCCAGAAAUAAGACAUCCCAGCCCACUUCCCGCUCAGCCACCCCCAGAGGGGCCUCUCUGGUUGAAAACAACGCCUGGGGCCAGCAGGCUUGGCACAGCUGUGGCUGUCAGCCUGCCGAGCACCGUCCGGCCUGAGGAAUGUGCAGACCCACAUGUGCUGGAGCAUCCCGCUGGGGCACAGUGACAGGAAACUGAGCAAAACAGCUCGUUGGCACUGAUAUGCCCCUCCCACCUCCCAGCUCCUGACUCCUAUGGGCUGUUGGCUGCCCUGGAAGUGCAGGCGGCAAGCCCAGGCCCUUCAAGAGAGCCAGGCAGUGUGGCUCUGGGCAAAUCACUCCCCCUCUCUGGGCCUGUUUCUGCUUCUCUUGGUGGAUGAAGGACGCUGUCCUGCCAAGCUCAGAAUGGCAGUGAUUUUAUGACAUGCUCUCCUUUCUGGGAGGACGGUCCAUUCUCCUCAUGCCCUCAUUCAUGUGGGAUGGGGCAUGCCCCCAAGACACAUCAAGCUAUCCCACUAGCAGCCCUUGGCUGUAGAAAGCCCCCCCACCCAGUGCAGGGAUAAGGGUGACCCUUCAGAGUUGAAAGGGGUGACCAGGAACCUGGGAGAGUCCCAGGAAAGCCCAGGGUUGGAGCUUCAGGGCCAAAGUGGUUAACUGAAAAUAUUCAUUAUCACCCCGCCCAGGCUGGAGGCCCCUGGCUUCCAGUUUUGAAGCAGAGGUCAGCUGGGCGGUGUAGGACACUGCUCCCGGGUUGACCAAUGGGCCACAUCAAUGGGUCUGCUGUUUGGGGUCAAGAUCCCAAGACCCCAGGGGAAGUCAACAUCCAUCUGAGGCUCUCUCAGGCCCUGCAAGCCAUCUCUGGCCUCACUGCCCUCCCCUUUAGAAAUGUGGGAAUGAGGCUCAGAGAGGUUGAGCUGCUUGCCAAGUUUGCAUAGCCAAAAGGCGUCUGAACGAAACUGAGCAUUCGGGGUUGGACUUCCCCUCUUCGCCGCCUGCUCUGCUCUCCCAGGCACUACUGAGCGCGCUCGCGGUCGCCAGGAGCGGAUUGGGCCCCCGCCGCGCGCAAGCCUUGGUGACAGGGGAUGGCGCGGAGCUGCCUCUCCGGGAAAGUUGGAUCUGUGCGCCCAGACAUGGAAAAGGGAUUAGGACACCGGCAGAUCUUGCCCUCACAGAGCGGAGGUGGGGGCCUUGGAAGGGGCACACCGCCCGUAGGCGCGAAAUCCAAGAAGAAAAUGACACUCAUCAGCCAGCCUCGCGCGGGGAGAAAGGGCGGGGUGGGGGGUAGUGGCACCCUGCCCGUCCUCUCCCACCCCCACAGUCCGGGCCCACAGUCCAGGAGUCACAAGGGAUGUGAAUCCCCAGGCAUAAUGUGAACCCCCAACAAACCCAAGGCCUCAGAAUGCGCCUCACCUCUCCCUCCCCACCAGCAGAAACAUCCUCCCACUCUCCCAACCCCUGCUCCAGCCACGCCAACCCUUUAACCUUGUCCCAGAAUGUCUAAACUGUAUCUGCCUCUGUGCCUGUGCACAUGAAGUUGCCUUGGCCCGGCGUUUGCUCCACAGCCUUCUGCCAAACUCCUACUGCUUGAUGGCUGGAAGCCUUCGCACCCUGGCGCUCUCCUCCCAGGUCAGCAGUCACUGGCCUUCCUGUGCAUCCAGCCCAGCUUUGAACAGUCCUGGGCCCCAACCCUUAUCUUUUUCCGAGUAAUUACAUGGUUGCAUGAUUGGCUUCACCGCCUCUGGAUCAGAUGAGCGCUACUAAUGAAGGAUACAAGUUGUAAAACUAGGUUUUAUGUGAACUCCAGUCAUCACAGUUUAGGUGCGGCUAGCGAUUUUACAGAUGCGGGGUUAGUAACUGGCCCAAAUCCAGGGCUUCCGGGAUGCUGUUUUCCUUUUUUGUUUCUUAGCAGGGAUGGCAGAUGUUUGUAGAACAGAUCCGUGUAAAAGUCAGUAUCCUAAGAGAUUAAAUUGUAAAGCAGGACAAGAUAGUUAACGGUGUGUGUGUGUGUGUGUGUGUGUGUGUGUGUGUGUGUAUGUCUUUUCCAAAUUGAGAGGGAGGUAGAAGAAUUAGCCAAAACCCAGGAUUCACUCUGAGGUAGACCCACACCUCUUAGUUAGAUCCCAUUUAUUAAGCUGUAAUUAUUCACAGCGUUGCUGAAGAUAUACACAGGGCCCCUCCCAUCUCCCUGCGACUGACUGGUUCCAAGUAUGCUAUUAUAUGUGUUAUUAUCACUGUGGCUCAAUUAGAAGUGCUGCCGAAGGCCUUGAGGUUGCCACAGUCAAACUGCAGGUGCAGGCAGCGAGUAACAAUGAUUAUAAUGCCUGCAUCUGGAUCGCGCUUUUUGCUUUUCAGAAUGCUUUCAAAUGUGUCUCCUCAUUAAAUCUCUGCAAACAUCCUCCAGGUAGUUAGGAAAAGUUUAAUGAGUUUUGCCUGACAAGGGAAACCAAGACACAAAGAGGGCAGGUGACUUGCACAAGGAGAGAGAUGGCUCCCCCAGGCUGCUCCAAGGGUGGAGCUGGCCACUGUAACUCAAUGUCCUGCAGGAAGAGAUGGUUGGGUACAGUUAGGAGCUCAGGCUCUAGUGCCAAAGUGCCCAAUUUGCAACUUUCAGCUGAUUACUCAUACUUGGUUUCCUUUUCUGUUGAAUAGAUCUAAUAAUAGGAGCUUAUCUUGUAUGGUUUUGUGCCUGGUAUUUGAGCACCCAACUCAGGCGAGCUGUUAUGUUAUGGUUCUGGGAAUGGUAUGAUUGCUACAGUUUCUGCCAUACAGCUAUUCAGUCUUUCGUCAAACAUUCCUGAGUAUCUACUAUGUGCUAGUCUCUGGGAAUAUGAAGAAGAAUGAGGCAUAGACUACUACCUCCAAGGAGGUCAGGGUGUAAUAAUUCUGUGUCAGGGGACCAUGGUGCACAGAGAUGAACUGUCCCUCCUGCUGCCGGUGCAGUGCAGAGCACCAGUUCAGAGCAGUGGAGAUAUUCACUUUCCAGGCCCAGCUUUGCUACUUAUUUAGCUGAGUGAAUCUUACACUGUAAGAUUCUGUUACACAUACAGUGUGCACAUACAGUCUAAUCUUACACUGAAUGUGACCUCUUACAACAUUGGUUUUUCUCAUCUGUUAGAUGGGGAUAGCAAUAAUUUUUCAUAGGUGAAAACACAUGUGAUAAACAUAUUUUAUAAAGUACAAAAUACUGUGCAGAUAGUUUUGUUAUUAUCAAUGUGAUUGUUAUUAUCUUGGGCUUUACAGGGCUUGCUGCUUUUCAGAAUACUCUCCCAUUCCAUUGCUUUUCUUAGAGUCUCGCUCUGUCACCCAGGUUGGAGUGCAGUGGUGCAAUCUUGACUCACUGCAACCUCCUCUCAGAUUCAAGCAACUCUUGUGCCUCGGCCACUUGAAUAGCUGGGUCUACAGGCACACACCACCACACCCAGCUAAUUUUUUGUAUUUUUAGUAGCGACAGCAUUUCACCAUGUUGGCCAGGCUGGUCUCGAACUCCUGACCUCAAGAUAUCUGCCUGCUUGGCCUCCCAAAGUGCUGGAAUUACAGGUGUGAGCCACCAUGCCCGGCCAUCCAUUACUUUUCUUAAGCCUGACAUAAACAUCACAUCAAAAACAGAACCCUAUUUUUUAUUUGAUGCCAAUCUUUUUCUCUCCAAAGUAGUCCACAUGGAAGGAAAACAAAAGUUGAGUAAGCAAUGCGAAGGGAUGGGGCAGUUUACAACUAGGAAGUCCACAAUACCUUCGUCUUCAGCAUUACCUGCAGCUACAUAAGGGGGUGGACAUGAAAACCCAUCUGGAAAAAAAAA